CCUACGGUAGGCAGCAGUGGGGGAUAUUGCACAAUGGGGGAAACCCUGAUGCAGCGACGCCGCGUGGGUGAAGAAGGGCCUCGGCGCGUAAAGCCCUGUCAGCAGGGAAGAAAAUGACGGUACCUGAAGAAGAAGCCCCGGCUAACUACGUGCCAGCAGCCGCGGUAAUACGUAGGGGGCAAGCUGUAUCCGGAUUUACUGGGUGUAACGGGGGCGCAGACGGCGAUGCAAGCCAGGAGUGAAAGCCGGGGGCCCAACCCCGGGACUGCGCUUGGAACUGCGUGGCUAGAGUGCAGGAGGGGCAGGCGGAAUUCCUGGUGUAGCGGUGAAAUGCGUAGAUAUCAGGAGGAACACCGGUGGCGAAGGCGGCCUGCUGGACUGCAACUGACGUUGAGGCCCGAAAGCGUGGGGAGCAAACAGGAUUAGAUACCCCAGUAGUC
rnacentral:rRNA from 1 species